rnacentral:rRNA from 1 species
AUUGAACGCUGGCGGCAGGCCUAACACAUGCAAGUCGAGCGGAUGAAGGGAGCUUGCUCCUGGAUUCAGCGGCGGACGGGUGAGUAAUGCCUAGGAAUCUGCCUGGUAGUGGGGGAUAACGUCCGGAAACGGGCGCUAAUACCGCAUACGUCCUGAGGGAGAAAGUGGGGGAUCUUCGGACCUCACGCUAUCAGAUGAGCCUAGGUCGGAUUAGCUAGUUGGUGGGGUAAAGGCCUACCAAGGCGACGAUCCGUAACUGGUCUGAGAGGAUGAUCAGUCACACUGGAACUGAGAAACGGUCCAGACUCCUACGGGAGGCAGCAGUUGGGAAUAUUGGACAAUGGGCGAAAGCCUGAUCCAGCCAUGCCGCGUGUGUGAAGAAGGUCUUCGGAUUGUAAAGCACUUUAAGUUGGGAGGAAGGGCAGUAAGUUAAUACCUUGCUGGUUUGACGUUACCAACAGAAUAAGCACCGGCUAACUUCGUG